rnacentral:rRNA from 1 species
CCUACGGGGUGCAGCAGUGAGGAAUAUUGGUCAAUGGACGCAAGUCUGAACCAGCCAUGCCGCGUGCAGGAAGACGGCUCUAUGAGUUGUAAACUGCUUUUGUACGAGGGUAAACGCAGAUACGCGUAUCUGUCUGAAAGUAUCGUACGAAUAAGGAUCGGCUAACUCCGUGCCAGCAGCCGCGGUAAUACGGAGGAUUCCAGCGUUAUCCGGAUUUAUUGGGUUUAAAGGGUGCGUAGGCGGUCGGAUAAGUUAGAGGUGAAAUCCCGAGGGUAAACUUCAGACUUGCCUCUGAUAAUGUUCGUCUAGAGAGUAGUUGCGGUAGGCGGAAUGUAUGGUGUAGCGGUGAAAUGCUUAGAGAUCAUACAGAACACCGAUUGCGAAGGCAGCUUACCAAGCUCCUUCUGACGUUGAGGCACGAAAGCGUGGGUAGCAAACAGGAUUAGAUACCCUAGUAGUC